rnacentral:tRNA from 1 species
GCGAAUUUAGCUCAGUGGGUAGAGCAAUCGCCUGAUAAGCGAUCGGUCGUCGGUUCAAAUCCGGCAAUACGCA